rnacentral:rRNA from 1 species
GACGAACCUUGCAAACGUUAUUCGGAAUCACUGGGCUUAAAGGGUGCGUAGGCUGUGCAGAAAGUUGGGUGUGAAAUACCUCGGCUUAACCGAGGAAUUGCGCCCAAAACUACUGUGCUCGAGGAAGAUAGAGGUGAGCGGAACUUAGGGUGGAGCGGUGAAAUGCGUUGAUAUCCUAAGGAACACCGGUGGCGAAAGCGGCGUACUGGGUCUUUUCUGACGCUGAGGCACGAAAGCUAGGGUAGCGAACGGG